rnacentral:rRNA from 1 species
GCAGGCUGCAACUCGCCUGCAUGAAGUCGGAAUUGCUAGUAAUCGUAGGUCAGCAUACUACGGUGAAUACGUUCCCGGGCCUUGUACACACCGCCCGUCAAACCAUGAGAGUUGGCAACACCCGAAGUCGGUAGUCUAACCGCAAGGAGGACGCCGCCGAAGGUGGGGUUGAUGAUUAGGGUUAAGUCGUAACAAGGUACC